rnacentral:rRNA from 1 species
AAUAGAUACCCCGGUAGUCCACGCCGUAAACGAUGAGUACUAAGUGUUGGGACCAAGUCUCAGUGCUGCAGUUAACGCAUUAAGUACUCCGCCUGAGUAGUACGUACGCAAGUAUGAAACUCAAAGGAAUUGACGGGACCCCGCACAAGCGGUGGAUCAUGUUGUUUAAUUCGACGAUACACGAAAAACCUUACCAGGUCUUGACAUACCAUGCAAAGGCUUAGAAAUAAGUACGGAGGUUAACAUGGAUACAGGUGGUGCACGGUUGUCGUCAGCUCGUGUCGUGAGAUGUUGGGUUAAGUCCCGCAACGAGCGCAACCCUUAUUGCUAGUUACCAUCAUUAAGUUGGGGACUCUAGCGAGACUGCCAGUGAUAAACUGGAGGAAGGUGGGGAUGACGUCAAAUCAUCAUGCCCCUUAUGACCUGGGCUACAAACGUGAUACAAUGGCUGAAACAAAGGGAAGCGAUACCGCGAGGUGGAGCGAAUCCCAAAAAAGCAGUCUCAGUUCGGAUUGAAGUCUGCAACUCGACUUC